rnacentral:lncRNA from 1 species
GUCUUGUUUCUGUGUUUGUUAUUUCUACUGGAGUGGUCGUGAAGUGUCAAGUGGUAUAGGCAUCACACAUUUGAACAUGUGGUAUUCAGUGUUAGUUAUUGCGAUCAAUCAUGAAAAGAGAAGGAAGAUUAUGAAAUCGAUCAAAAUGUAAUCUAACAGGAGAGAAUAGGUCGAAACGUUCAACUUGAAGCGCAAGAUACAUAUCUUAAUAUGUCACUGACUUUGCCAAACUAGAUCAACUUGCGACAGAGAUUUUUUUUUUUUUUUUGGUUAAUGCCGGUUAGGUUUACAACUAUUAUUACAUGAAGGAUCUCUCCCUGAAUUACUGCCCGAUGCACCGAUCUUGAUCUCGCUUAAUAGUGUUUGUUCCCAAACUUCUUUUCCUAUUUUCUUCCCUAAAAACAAAACAACUAUUAGCUAAUCAAUUUGAAGAAGAGAAACAAAAUAACUGUUAAAUUGUGAAACGUAGAAACAAAACCAAAAGAUCAACGUAUGAAAAAAAUUGAAGAAUAUUUGGUUUGCGUUUUAAAUUCUGGAAUACUAUACCAAACCCAAAUUGUAUCGAACAUAUCUAAAAUUGCUUAGAAAGUAGAAAAAAAAAACAAAAAAAAAAAUACUUACUUUGGCUUGGAGAUGCAUACUGUACUCGAGCUAAUACUGUAUUUGAUAACAAAAGAAAACUCAAAGUUAGUAUACAAAGCGUGAGUUUGUACAUAUUUUAGAUUUCAUGCAUAUAUAUAGAUAUAUGAAGUCACGUUACGUGUUACGUGUUCAUUUUUCUGUUUUGG